AUUUAAAUAGCUUAUGAGAGCGUAAUAUUGAAGAUAUUAAGGAGAUUAUAAAUCUUUAAAUA
rnacentral:tRNA from 1 species